UCUCCUGAUUAUUUGCUGCAAACUAGCCUCAGAUACUCACACCAUGAGCACCUGGAUAAGUCUCUGUUGUUGCCUGACCCUCAGCACCUGGCACAGUUCUGACCACCCAGGAGUUAUUAAGCUCAUGGUUUUGGGUUUCACAUGCUGACCUUAUUUUGCUGAACUGCUGGCUACUUUUAGGAUAAGAAAGAAGACUGCAAGUUGAGAAAUCAUAUCUCCAAGCCUCAAGGGAUCCUGUCAUGUGGAAAUGCUGAUCUGCUCUCCCAGCAAGCCUGGGUGGGCAUCCUCAAUCUUCUGCUUCCAAUCUGUGUGACCUGGGAUGCAUCCAAAGGCAAUGAGUGAGCAAGGGGCUGACAGAGGUCUUCCCAGACCCAGAACUUCACUGCCUCAUGGACUCAUGAAGCACGUCAUCAACUUCCAUCUGGAGAAGAACUAACAAUAUCAUUGAGAAGUAUUUAAUGAAUAAAUAAAUAGAUGAAAGCUUCACCAGUUAAUCACAACCUAUAAAAUUGAUGAUGGGAAUCCAGAAGUGGACUACAAAGCUUCCUUAAAGUUUCAGGACUGCUAUGUGCCUGGAGAAACCUCAGCCUUAAAUGGAGAGGAGGAUGGACAUGAAGCCCAGAAGGACAAUUUUUAAUCUGAAGAUAAGCUAAACAGAGAGAGACCUUUCAGAACACAGACAGAGAUGGUGGAUGAGAAAAGGGGUAGGACUAGAGAAAAGGAGUUGGGGGAUAAAACGGAAAGGAGGUGUAAAAGGAAACCAAAGAGCUCAAAGCCAAGGUCCCACACUCAGAGGGGCUGGAGGCGGAUAUCAGGGAUGGCUUAGGCCAUGAGGGUAAAUUGCAGGGAGGAUAAUAUAGCAUCAACCAUCUGCAUCCGUAAUGGUGGUCCAAGCUUUGAUCCCAUCAUCUGACCUGCUGAGGUGGGAUCCUAGGGGGAAAGCAUUGAUGUCUCAAGUCCUUUUUAGAAUGAGCUGGGAUGGACAAUAUUAAAAUAAAAAUAAUAAACAACAAAGGAGAUAGAAGCUCUGAUUCUGUAAGGUUGAAAUCCAUUGUCUGAACCAUGGUAGGCUGUCCCUGGCAGUCCCUGCCUACCCCCUUUACUAGAUGACAGUAAAGCCUUAGGCAGAGCUAGGACCUUCUGUCUGUCAGCAGGUGUCAGGCACCAGCAGUGUGAGCACUAGUCCAUCCCAGUGAGGGAAACAGGAAUAGAAAGCCUGGCCCAGCCCUCACAGGACUUCUGGCCUAACUUGGCAUCAAACACAGCAUGUACAGAACAAUUCAGAGAGUGUGGGCACCAGGAAAUGCUGUAGGAGUCUCACUCAACAAACAUACCAACUGCUUGAGGAUUCCAUGCCUGUGCAGAGAAUCUCUGCUGCUGUGCUCUCCUUCCUCUACCAGUGGACAGAGGCUACUCACCCUUCAUGUUCAGAUGGCAGAGCUGCCCUCCAGGAACCGCUAUACCCACUCCCUCUGAUGGAGUGAUGUAGUUGUGGUCUCAACUGUAUAGCAUGGGGGCUUCCUGAGGACAGAAACUGCAGCGUAUGUGGCUAAAUAGUUGUUGGAUGAAUGAAUAACCAAUGGGUUUUGGAGCCAGCGGUUACUAGCCAUGAAAUGCUCAAUGUGGUUGCCUCUCCUAGUCUCAGUAUCCUCAUCUAUAAAGUAAGAAAGUGGAUAGAAUUUAUGAUUUUUUAACCCUUGCCCCACCAAUCACAAAACUUUAUCCAGAUUUGCUUUUGCUGUCGCUUGUACUGUCCUUCCAAAUUAUGUUAACUUCAUAAAUGUAAAGUUAAAUGAUAAUAUUUAGUAUGAUUUUAUAAACUAUAUAUUCCGCUCCCCACCCGCCAUCCUUCCCCUCUUGAGAAUCGCAGGUCACUCAUGGCUUCAUCCUCUCAAUCUCAGGGUGUCUCCAGUUCUCAGGGGCGAUUUUCACCGGUUUCCUUAUUCAACACAAGUUCAUUAAGUGAACUAUUAUGUGCUCUGUGUUGGGACAGUCUGUGAGCAGAGUGUCUCUGCUUUCAUGGAGCUUAUCAGCCAGAAAAGAAGGUAAGCAAUGAGCAGGCAGUGAGGAAAGGGUUCCACAGCUGUGGCUGUGAUGGAACCAACAUAGAUUGAAAGCUUAUGUGAAGCUAGGCACCGUGCCAAGGGCCCUACGUGCAGCAUUUCAUUGCAACCUCACAAGGGCUGUGCAAAAACAAAUACUACCAUCCUUUCUUAUCUUAUUAUUGUUCAAACCGAGACUCAGAAGGUUCAGGUCAUCAGUGUAAGGCAACAGCUAAUCAGUGGUGGUCUUGCCGUUGCACCUGGGAUUGAACCUGUGUGGUCUGUCUUCUGUCUACGUUCUUAAAACCUAGACUAGAUUGAGUCCUAUGUUGGAGAAGUCCAAGAAGCUAUGGGAGCCAGAGCAAAAGCCUUGCAACAGCAUGUACAAUGUCCCAAGGCACAAAAGCAAAGUCUAUCUGGGGAAGUUCGCUACACUACAGUGGCAGGGAAGUCAAGUGCAAGGAGAAGAAAGGCCAGAUACUGGACAGUCAGCUCUUCUCUGCUCCUCCUCCUGGGUUUGGGAAUCCUCAAGCCCCAGGUAGAGAUAAAUCUUUUCUGGUCAGGCACAGUGAGUUGGGCCCAGAGCCAUCCUAACUAAUUGCCUAGAAGUGCUGUUUUAUUUUUACCUCCUGCCUUCUGAUCCCAAGACCACUCUUAGCUUAGCAAUUUUCCUCUUUCUUUUUUUUUUUUUUUUCAUUUUUUAUUAACCAGACCUGACAGGCACAAGGAUGGAGCCACUACUUGUUUCCAUAAUCGUUUGACGAGCACAUAAUGAGAAUUGCUUAUCAGAUAAAUAUGCUGCAAUUAGCUUGGAACCACAAUGCCAUCUGUGUUUUUUUAACACUCAAAUGUGGUUGAAGUUGAUGGCAGGAGCUCCUCUGAUGAUGCAGAGACAGGCAGGAUGACACCUGAGGGGGCUCCCAGGAAAUGACAUGGCCAGGUGUUGGAGACAGAAGGCUGAAGAGUCUGGGACCUUUCCUGGUGACUCAGGGCUAUAGGGUCAACUCUGGCUGGGGAUCUGAAAAGAAACUGUCACUUCUUAAGUUUCUGAGCUCUGGAGGAGAGAGAGGUGGGCCAAACACAUCUGUUCCUUUCUUUCAUCACUUUGCUAAUUGGCUCGUGAAGGGAAUGAGUCUUUCCUGAUGGAGAACACAGUGAAUUGUUCAUAGCAGGCAACGAAUAAAUCUCUUCAGGAUUGAACUGCAUAAAGGUUUCUGUUAAGUCCAGACUGACUCUCUAGAAGUCUUGGGCAAGAUGCUCGAGCUCAGAGAGUUCCUCCAAGUUUAUCACCUGGAGGUGAGUGGUGGGAAGGAUCCACAUGUCAGAAGUAAAACAGAUCCAAACUUGGAGAGCAUAGUUUUGUUAGGUUUGCUUUUGAACAAUUAACUAUGACAUGGGAUUGUAAGAUUUCUUAGCAUCCCUGGGCAAAAUUGUGGAGCUGAUUAAGUUUGUCCUUCAAGGCACCCACUCCUCUUAUCUUCAUCUCCCCUUUCUCUCUUUUUGAGCUCACAAGGCAAUUCCUGGAACGCUAGUUAACACUGGUCCAAAAUGCCGCCUCUGUUAGGGCUGACGUUUGGCUGCAUGAAAUAAGAACCCAGCCAGGGUGACAUAAACAAUUGUGCAUCUGAAAAGAAGUACAUCCUACUAGACAUCAGAGAAAUAAUAUUAAAGCAACAAGAAUCUACUUUUCUCACUUAGCAGACUAAUAAAGAGCUAAUAUUUGUGAGACUGUGGAGAAAAAGUAACUUUUAUACAUCACUGGCAGUGACACAAACUAGGAAACCACCUAGGAAAGCAGAAAGAUGAUAUCUGGUGAUGCUGAAAUAAUCCUGCUCCACUGUCCUGAAACUCCAGUGCUAGCAGUGCCCUGGGGGAACACCACAGGUGUG